GGAUUGCUGCGGCGUGCGUAGGGAACUUUUACUCCAGCGACCUUACAUUUUCAUCAGGGAGCUGGCUCUGGCCGGGACCGUGGUCCUGAUCACCUGGCGCCCACCUAGCUUGCUGGGUCGAUGGGAAUAAACAUGUCCCUACGGCGUUUGCGGCGCCGCC
rnacentral:other from 1 species